rnacentral:rRNA from 1 species
CACGUAGGGGGCGAGCGUUAUCCGGAAUUACUGGGCGUAAAGAGUGCGUAGGUGGCUAAGCAAGCGCGGGGUUUAAUUUCACGGCCCAACCGUGAACCGCCCUGCGAACUGUCUAGCUUGAGUACAGGAGAGGAAGGCGGAAUUCCUAGUGUAGCGGUGAAAUGCGUAGAUAUUAGGAGGAACACCGGUGGCGAAGGCGGCCUUCUGGACUGAAACUGACACUGAGGCACGAAAGCGUGGGUAGCAAACAGG